rnacentral:rRNA from 1 species
UACAGAGGUCUCAAGCGUUGUUCGGAUUCAUUGGGCGUAAAGGGUGCGUAGGCGGCGCGGUAAGUCGGAUGUGAAAUCUUGGAGCUUAACUCCGAAACUGCAUUCGAUACUGCCGUGCUUGAGGACUGGAGAGGAGACUGGAAUUUACGGUGUAGCGGUGAAAUGCGUAGAUAUCGUAAGGAAGACCAGUGGCGAAGGCGGCUACCUGGACCAGCACUGACACUGAGGCACGAAAGCGUGGGGAGCAAACGGG